rnacentral:rRNA from 1 species
UUGAAAAGAACUUUGAAGAGAGAGUUCAAGAGUACGUGAAACCGUUCAGGGGUAAACCUAAGAAACCCAAAAGAUCGAACGGGGAGAUUCAUCGUCAGCGGCGCAGGCUUCGCGUCGGUGGGCGAUGCCUCGCGGUGCCGUUCCACGGCACUCGCGCGGGCACGCUACCGUGCGCCGAUGUCCGGCGUCGUCGUCGUGCACUUCUCCCCUAGUAGGACGUCGCGACCCGCUGGGUGUCGGUCUACGGCCCGAUCACGUUGACUGUCGCGUCGCCGGUAAAACGGCACGCGGCAAACGUCGGUCGCCCGGCCGGCUGCCCGGCGGUACACGCAACGGUAUCAGGCCGCGCUUCGCGCGCGUCGAGCCCGUCGCAAGCGAGCGCCACGGUACCCGGUGGUACGGACCUAGAGCCGUCCCCGGUCCUGGCCCGCUGUUAGCAGUACGGUGCAACCUUCGACAGGCCUCCUCUCGUUAACGCGAGAGUUACCGGUCGGCGACGCUACUGCUUUGGGUACUCUUAGGACCCGUCUUGAAACACGGACCAAGGAGUCUAACAUGUACGCGAGUCAUUGGGACUAGCGAUACCUAAAGGCGCAAUGAAAGUGAAGAUCGGCGCUGGCCGCCGAUCGAGGGAGGAUGGGCCGCGUCUCGAUGCGGCUCCGCACUCCCGGGGCGUCUCGCUCUCAUCGCGAGAAGAGGCGCACCCAGAGCGUACACGUUGGGACCCGAAAGAUGGUGAACUAUGCCUGGUCAGGACGAAGUCAGGGGAAACCCUGAUGGAGGUCCGUAGCGAUUCUGACGUGCAAAUCGAUCGUCGGAACUGGGUAUAGGGGCGAAAGACUAAUCGAACCAUCUAGUAGCUGGUUCCCUCCGAAGUUUCCCUCAGGAUAGCUGGCACUCGACCGUUCCGCGCGGAACGCGUUCGAGUCUCAUCUGGUAAAGCGAAUGAUUAGAGGCCUUGGGGCCGAAACGACCUCAACCUAUUCUCAAACUUUAAAUGGGUGAGAUCUCUGGCUUUCUUGAACUAUGAAGCCAAGAGCAUCUCGGAUCAGAGUGCCAAGUGGGCCAUUUUUGGUAAGCAGAACUGGCGCUGUGGGAUGAACCAAACGCAGAGUUAAGGCGCCCAACUCGACGCUCAUGGGACACCAUGAAAGGCGUUGGUUGCUUAAGACAGCAGGACGGUGGCCAUGGAAGUCGGAAUCCGCUAAGGAGUGUGUAACAACUCACCUGCCGAAGCAACUAGCCCUGAAAAUGGAUGGCGCUGAAGCGUCGAGCCUAUACUCUGCCGUCAGCGGCAAGUGGGGCGGCCGCCUCGCGCGGUCGUCACGAAGCCCUGACGAGUAGGAGGGUCGCGACGGUGAGCGCAGAAGGGUCU